UUGGUUUUGGUUUUGGAUUUUAGAGACAGGGUUUCUCUGUAUAGCUUUUGGAGCCUGUCCUAGAACUCACUCUGUAGACCAGGCUGGCCUCAAACUCACAGAGAUUCAUCUGCCUCUGCUUCCCGAGUGCUGGGAUUAAAGGAAUACGCCACCACCACCUGGCCUAAAGGAAAGCAUUUUAAAGCUGAGAAUGUCACCAGCUAUGGUGGUGCACACCUUUAACUCCAGCACUCAGGAAGCAGAGGCAGGUAGAUGUUCGUGAAUUUGAGGCCAGCCUGGUGCACAUAGCAAGUUCCAGAACAGCCAGGGCUACAUAGUGAGGCCCUGUCUCAAAACAAACAAACUAACUAACUAACCAAAAACAACUUAGCAAGAAAACAACUCAGAAAUCUUAGGAAGUCCCUGAAACUGACCAGAUGCACAUGGCCCCUCCCACCCUAAGGUUACAUAAGGAUUUAGGAGGAGACAGACCAGCUGAGCUCCUUGGAAGAGGAACACCAGUCAAGAUGCCUCUAAGAAGCAAAAACCAGUGAGCUUUCUAGAAGAUACUCUAACUUGUCAAGCUACCUGCAAGUCAUGCAGUGAGCUCCAGGCUUCCAGCUUUCCAAAGCUAUCACCAGUGCUGGGGUUGGCUUUCAGUAAUAAAAGCAGCUGCAUUUAAGCCAUCCCUGCUCCUGUAAGUAACCCCUCACCCAUACUCAUAUAAGUAACCCCAGUAAAACUCACUGAUUCACCAAGUUGGAUUUUGUUAGUAUCCUUACUUUGCUCUGUAGUCAGUUCCCUAUCUAAAGUGAGUGUUUGGUUCACCUCUCCCAAAGGAUAGUGCCACACAACACUCAAAAAGUAAACAGCUCGUAUUUCUGUUUUGCCAAGUUAAGGCACAUUUUUGAAUAGGAAAGAAUGGAAGCGUGGGCUGUUUCUGGAGUGUGGCGAGUCUCAAAGGAGCUUACAGUCGGGAGAAAACCCAGCAUUUUAUAACUCCUCAUCCUGAGAAAACCCAGCAUUUUAUAACUCAUCCUGAGAAAAACGAGCAUUUUAUAACUCAUCCUGAGGCAUUCACCUGCGUCUCAGGAUGAGGACAGGUUGACCUAAUGAUGAUUUUCCCUCCGUUAUCUUAAUAGAUCUCCAGGAUCAGACUGCCUGGAAAGCAAGUGGAGGACUUUGUUCCUAUGUUCAAGGAAAUCCUCCAGCAUUAAGAGGUUCUGUUAGCAGUACUGUAUUUGCUGAUUCCAAGAUCUAGGGUCUUGCUUAGAGUGGAAGAAUAUGAGGGAAAUUAAGCCAUGUUUUUGCUCAACUCCAGACUGAAUUAAGGUCUGAGGAAAGAAUAAGACAGUCUCAAGUCAUCAAAGACAUCAGGAUGGGAAGUUUAGAUCCUUCUACAAGUUAGCUGUUCAAGACUGUAUGGCUCAUAACAGGCAACAAUGCCCCUACCAGAUACCAGAGAUGAACAAAAUGUCUAGUGUCACCAGUGGGUUACUUCCUUUGGAGCUGUUGGCCAGUGAAGCCCCAUAAACCCCCCAAACAGUACAGGCUAUUGACAGUGCUCUUGGCUACCCUCCAGAAUUUGACAGUGAGGCCCUGUUGCCGCAGAUAUAACAUACUUGAGUCAUAAACAUGGAGGAAUAAAGCUGGUACUGACCUGGAAGUUUCACCUCACCUGUUACCUUGGAAAUUGGGAUCUCCUUAUGGGGAUCUUGGAGUCUUGGUCUUGCCUUUCAAUUAUUUUUUUUAGAUUUAUUUAUUUUAUUUUAUAUGCAUAAGUGUUUUGCUUACAUGUGUAUAUGGGCAUCAUGUGCAUGCCUGGUGCCCAAAGAGGCCAGAAAAGGUAUCAGAUCCCCUGGAACUGGAGCUAGGGUUUGUGAGCUACACUGGGACUCGAACCCAGUCCUCUGAGAGCACCAAGUGCUCUCAGCCCCUGAGUCAUUUCUCUGGUUUUGUUUAAAAAAGAAUUUAAUAAGGGACUCAGAAAAAAAAGCUUGAGAACAAUUUUAUUAGAGCUUAAAACAAAAACCCAGGGCAGGAAAGACAUGAACUGGAGCAGGUGCCCAGAGGGCGAUUAGAAGGCAAAGAAAAAGCUGGGCCACAGAGUUAAGGCGGCACCAAAGUCAACCACACGUCAAGAGAGGCCCCUAGAGGAAGGCUGAAGCCGGUGUCGGGAAAGCCUGCUUAGAAAGGGAUCUCUGCCUGCCUGUGGCUCUGAAAAUGACUUCAUCGGGGCUGGGCUUUCUGGGAAGGAAAAGUACAUUACCUCCCUGAAGGUAUAAUUAUUCUUCCUAUCUCUUUAGCCUGGCUUACAGAAACUCUAUCUUCCUGAGGGUAGUCCCUUAAUCAGGUGAUUGCUUAGCCUAACUGGAAUGUUAGGUCUCCAAGUAAACCAGAAAUUCCAUUUUCUUGACCAAGAGGAAUGAGUUUUCCUUCAGUGGGCCUUCGAGGCUACCGUAAAACCACCAUGUGGCCCAGACUUGCCUCAAACUCUUGACGCUCCUCCUGAAAUUACAGGAGAUUGCCCCUUUACCUGUCAUUCGCCCACACACCAUUCCCUGAAGACAGGGUCCCCUUGAGCAGCCCAGGUGGGUCCUCCAACUCCUGAUCUUCCUGUGUCAGCUUUCAGGGUGCUGUGACGAUGGGUGUCCUCUACCACACGGGGCCACUGCACCAGUAGAGGCUCCGGUGGUGACGGUCGUGUUGCUACUGUUCUUCUUCACUUUUUUUUUUGUUUUUUUUUUUGUUUUUCGAGACAGGAUUUUUCUGUGUAGCUUUGCGCCUUUCCUGCAUCUCACUCUGUAGACCAGGUUGGCCUCGAACUCACAGAGAUCCGCCUGGCUCUGCCUCCCGAGUGCUGGGAUCAAAGGCGGGCGCCACCACCACCGCCCCGGCCACAUUUUUAUUAGCAUAUAUUGUGCAAAGGACGCCUUUCUUUGUGGAACGUUCAUGGGAACAUGCAGCGUGCUUUGACCGUGUGGCCCUGAUUCUCCCCCGCCUGAGCCCUUCCUCUCCCCAACAGCCUCCCUUUUAGCUCUAACAACAGUUUUUGAGACACCACAUACGAGAGAAAAAGGCGACACUUCUCCUCUUCCUGAGUCUGGCUUACUUCCCUUUAAAACAAUGGUCUCCGGUUUCCUCGACUGUUCCUCGAGAGACCCGAUGGGCUCCUUCUUUCUGGUUGAGUAAUAUUCCGUGUUGUGACUCUUACAGAACUUCAACAAGAGACUAAUCAGAGCCUCUGCGCAGGCCACUCGUGAGUCGUUGUCGGCUUGGGGGGUAAAUCCCUCUUGCCAAUCAAUUUUGGUUCCUUUCACUGGGGUAUCAGUUCACGUAUUUGAGUGUUCAAGUAGUGUACAAAGGUCUUCUUGCGUUAGUGCUCAUUUAUUUAGUGUUUGUUUGUUUGUUUGAAGCAGGGUCUCUCCAUGUAGUCCUGGCUUACCUGAAACUCACUAUGGAGACCAGGCUGGCCUUGAGUUCACAGAGAUCUGCUGCUCCUGAGCGUGGACUAAAAGCCUGUCACCACAUUCAGUCAGAGGUCUUUUUUUUUAAAGGUUUUUUAUUUAUUUAUCAUGUAUACAGUGUUCUCCCUGCAGGCCAGAAGAGGGCACCAGAUCUAUUACAGAUGGCUGUGAGUCACCAUGUGGUUGCUGGGAAUUGAACUCAGGACCUCUGGAAGAGCAGUCAGUGCUCUUAACCUCUGAGCCAUCUCUCCAGCCCCCAGGAGUCAUUUUUGUUUUGUUUUGUUUUGUUGUUUUUUGAGACAGGGUUUCUCUGUGUAGCUUUGGAGCCUUUCCUGGAACUCAUUCUGUAGACCAGGCUGGUCUCAAAUUCCCAGAGAUCUGCCUUCCUCUGCCUCCUGAGUGCUGGGAUUUAAGGCCUGCGCCACCGCCACCGCCGCUGGCCAGAAGUCAUUCUUAAGGAUGCCUGUAGUUCUUUUUCACCUGGAUCCAGAAACCUCUGUCAGAGUUUGUGGGGCAGCAAUGAGGCCUAAGCAAGGGGCUGGGCCUUGAAGUCCUCCCUCAUAUACCCAGGUGUUAUCUGUGGGCACUGGGGGUACGGAAAGGGGUAGGAUUACAUCCCGGCCUGAAUUUGGUAUGGAGCUUUUCCUAACCUGCCCACCCUCUACCACCAGCCUUGCUCCCCUCCCCAUUUCUGGAGUCAGCCUGAGGCUGACUCCCAGAGAAGGAGGCCUGAGAGCUGUAGGGGGCUUAUUGGGAGCUUAAUCAUCAUUACAAAGACCUUCUUGACUAGGGUCUCAGGAUCCCUGGAGGUUUGAACAGGCUUCCUCCUCUGGGGUCUUCAGGCCCUCUUUGAUCUCAAUUCACCCUGAGGCAGGGCCUCCAGAGGUGGCUAGGUAUUGAAUAACCGUGGUCCCCUGGCCUAGCUUUUACCUCAUUCUGGAUUACAUUUUGAGCACUUUGUGACAACAAUGGUUGUUCACACCGGCAUUUUUAGGAGGAAGAUUCUGGUACAAAGGAAAGCAGGGCAGGCUGCAGGUCCUUAACUGCUCCAAGCACCUGGCCUGCAGCUCCGCCUAAACCGCGUGUUCCCGUUACCCAGCCCCUCAGUUUCUCCUUUAUCUCAUCUCUAGCUACCAGCUCAAUACCCUUCCAUCAUCAAUCCUUGUCUCUCUCAUAAUUCAUGACACCCCUGAGGUCCCAAGAGGAUAGUUUUCUUUUCUUUUUCUCUUUUCUGAGACAGGGUUUCUCUAUGUAAUGGCUCUGGCUGUCCUGGAACUCCCUUUGUAGACCAGGCUGGCCUUGAACUCAUGGAGAUCCACCUACCUCUGCCUCCCGAGUACUGGGAUUAAAGAUGUGCACCACUACGGCCAGGCUGAGGAUUGUUUUCUUAUUCUCUUUUUUGGGAGGGCGGGGGUUGAGACAAGGGUUUCUCUCUGUAGCUUUGGAGCCUGUCCUGGAACUUGCUCUGUAGACCAGGCUGGCCUCGAACCCACAGAGAUAUCCCUGUCUCUGACUCCUGAAUGCUGGGAUCAAAGGCGUGUGCCACCACCACCUGGCUUUAUUCCCCCUCAAUUCAGCCAGCUCUCCAUCCUUUCUGGUACUGCUAUUAGCCAACUUUGACCUUCAAGGGAAGGUCAAAGGUCAUCAUUGCUGUGAAAAGGCUCUAGCAAUGCUUUCUUAGUUCUGGCCACAGAAUUGGCUUAUUCUCACGUUUCAAAUCCUCUUUUGUCAGGUUCUGCCUUCCAGGGUGUCCAGAUCUGGAUCUGACCCAAACAACCCAUCCUGGUAGAGCUGUGUGGGUAGGAGCAAACAGGACUUGGCCCCAGCAUUUGCCAGUUCUUUGACUAUGGCAAAAUCUCGUAAACUUUUUUCGCCUCAGUCUCCUUAUCCAUAAGUUGGGAAUACAGAUAACACCCAAUCCUGCAGCCUUUGGGCACCAGAUGACAGAGCACCAAUAGCACCCAUUUCCACAGCUGGACAUGCUUAUUAAAUGAGUUUGCGGCGAUUGCCUGAGAGAGCCUGCAAGUCAGUUUUCCCAGGAUACCUGACUCAGUCCCAUCCUCGGAGAGAGCCUCGUCAAAGCCUGAGCACCCUAGGGAAGUAAACCAAGGCACUGGAAGACAGUCUCCUCGAGUCGCAGCUGGAGACUGUCCGCCAGGACCAAGAGCUCCGAGACUAUUCCGAAACAGGGCAACAGACUCCACGGCUGCGUCUGCCUGCUUGUCCAUUUGAGGAUAAAUGCUCGCAAGGAUGCGGUAUGAAGCCCAGGCUCUUGAUUUGGACGCCGGAGGGAAGCGUGGAAAAGCAGAUGUGUGAGCUGGGAGCAGCCAGCAGUGAUCAGCGGAGAUGGUGCGGGGUGACCGCCCUGGCACCAGCUGAGAGCUACAGCGGGCGAAGAGCAGCGCCAUCUAGCGAAGCCCAGGAGUCAGCACCGAGCCGAUGAGGUCACUCCCGGGAGGCAUGCCGGGAAGGCGAGCGGUGGGCACAAUUUACCAAAGGGCAGAGGGAGGGAUAAACACCUUUGGGGACUCCGCCUAUCUGGGUAAUGUCCUUUAGGGAACUCUGACCACACCAAGUGUAGAGCCUCCCAAGUUGGGGUAUUGGACGUCCGACAGGAUGUUACCAAGAACCUUGCAGUACCAUCCUCAUCAUCCAGUGUCCUCUGGCAAUUGCCUGGAUCACCGGGAUGGGUGUUGUUCAGCUAGCCAUCGGGUUCGCUUCGCUAUUUCUUGUCCAGCAGCUGGAGGAGAAAUCUUUGUAAAGAUUCUCUUGUUCUUGGGGACAACGCUCUGGGAGUCUCCUGUGAUACAAAGAUCAAACACCCGCAUCAGACCUCCCAGCUUUUCACCCACCAGGCCCCUGGAACUCACAUCCCAUCUCUCCUUCAAUUGUGGACGCGCCGCCGCCGUCUUCACUUGCACCAAACCCACUAUUGGGGUUUGUUAAGUGUGCAGGUUCUGGGUCGCUAACCCACACCCACCAAACAUGUUUGCAAACAGGUUGCCAUGGUGCAGAGCCUUUUGCGGGGGCUUGAGAACACCAAGGCUCUCCUAACUGUAUGCAGGUUGCCUUUUCCAAAGGACUCAGCUGUUCCUUUAAAUUGGGUUGAAAGGUCAGCCCCAUCCUGCUCUCUUGAAGUCCUGGGCUUGCUCCUAGAGCAGUGCUCAGUAGGUAAAAUUUUAUCUGUCAGCUUUUCUGCCCAACUAGAAUGUGCACUCUUUUUUUUAUUCAAUAACUAUAUUUAUGAUAUUCAUUAAUUACAUUAAUUGUAUUGAUUUAUUACAUUCACGAUAGUAUGUCCUGAUACUUCUGUCCGUUUGUGGGGCUUUUCCAUCACACAAAACAGAGAUUCUGUACUUAGGAAAUCAUUGCUCUAUAUUCCUUUCUUCUCCAUCUUGAGAUAACGUCUAAUCUUUCUGUCUCUAGAAUGUGCACUCUUAAUGGCGGCACUGGGAUUGUCUUGUAUACAGAGUGAGGUGCCUGCCACAGAGAAGGGACUCAAUAAAUCCUUGUUGAGAUGGAA